GGUUGUGUGGUGUAGUGGUUAUCACAUCUGUCUUACAAUGACAACCCCUCUCAGAGGAGUAGCAUAAUAGGAUCCACAGAAGGCCGCAAGUUCAAUCCUUGCCACAAUCA